rnacentral:lncRNA from 1 species
GGGCCUCGAUUCAUGGCGGGCUCCGCGUUCCAGAACAACGGUGGCUUGUGUUGCGGGGCGGCAGCAAGGGUUUUGAUGGACGACGCUGGCAGAGACGACAGCGGACGAUGGCAGACGGCGACGGGAGUGACACGGACAGGCAGCAACAUCAACUCCGGCGUCUUCUGACCGCCCGAGCUCUGGCGACGGCGAGGAUGGAAAACCCAGAACGCCGAACAAGGCGUAGGGGGAGGGAGGAGUGACCGGAGGUGCUCCCACCUAGCACAGCAGCGAUGGAGGCAAGUAGCGGUAGAGGACGACGUCAUUCGACGGCGCAAGGCUCGGCCGAGGCUGGAAAGGCUACGUCGUCGUGGGACAGAGCGGCAGCAGCAACUGACGUCAGGCCAAAGAGCUUCAGGGCGGCCGAGCUUUUGGGUGGUCGUCAAGGCGGCAAACGGCACCACGGCUGGUCGUCAGGGCGACGGCGGGGGACGCCGCAAUGGCGACGGGGGCCGGGAUGAGUCCCGAAUCUCUCAAAUCUCCCUCUCUCAACCCUAAUUUCUCCUUCCCAAAACCUCGCUUACUUUUUGUUAAUGUCAUCGGCAUUCGAGUGCCGGCUUUAGUGUUGCUUUGUAUUCAAUGCCCAUCACUGAGGACGACCUCGCCGUGCUAGUCUAGACGACCUCCCGUGCUCCUUGGAUGGAGUCAACAAAUC